rnacentral:rRNA from 1 species
UACGUAGGGGGCAAGCGUUGUCCGGAAUCAUUGGGCGUAAAGCGCGUGUAGGCGGUUCGGUAAGUCUGCUGUGAAAGUCCAGGGCUCAACCCUGGGAUGCCGGUGGAUACUGUCGGACUAGAGUACGGAAGAGGCGAGUGGAAUUCCCGGUGUAGCGGUGAAAUGCGCAGAUAUCGGGAGGAACACCAGUGGCGAAGGCGACUACCUGGCCUGUUCUUGACGCUGAGGCGCGAAAGCUAGGGGAGCAAACGGG